GUGUGUUCCAGGCCAAAGACAGAUUGUUUUUGUGAAGUGCUAUCAUAGAUUUGACGAAUAGUCUGAAUUAAAAUGUCCCUUUUGUCAUUUUGCCUGAUGCACCUUUUGUAGAAGAACAAAUUUCAAAUAGUAAGAGCAACAACAUUCUUACUCUCCAGGAAGCUGGCUGAAAUGUUUCUGGGAAAAUGCAUUUUUGCUGAAAUAUAAUUUUUUAAUGAAUUUAAAUCUUUCAGGAAGCUGCAUAUCUUGCCAGAAGAUUGCUGAGGUUCAAAGUCUGCAAGUCACCUUCUGAAGUGUGUCUGUGUGCGUGCACGCAUGUGAUGGGAGCAAAAGGUGUGGAAUGGGAAGAAUAAAACAAAAUAAUAAAAGAAGAAUAAAAAAAAAAAUCAUUCUAGCAGAAGGUGACAUGCAAGCAAAUACAUUUUUUCCAGUUUACCUGAUGAAAUUUGUCUGGACAUUGUAA
rnacentral:lncRNA from 1 species